UUGGAGGGCAAGUCUGGUGCCAGCAGCCGCGGUAAUUCCAGCUCCAAUAGCGUAUAUUAAAGUUGUUGCAGUUAAAAAGCUCGUAGUUGAAUUUCGGGAUCAGUACGCUGGUCRUGCCUUYGGUAUGCACUGGUGUCACUGGUUYCUCCCUUCUGAAGAWCCGUSAUGYCAUUAAUUUGGUGUSGCGGGGAAUCAGGACUGUUACUUUGAAAAAAUUAGAGUGUUUAAAGCAGGCUCRCGCUUGAAUACAUUAGCAUGGAAUAAUGAAAUAGGACGUUUGAYCCUAUUUUGUUGGUUUCUAGGAUCGACGUAAUGAUUAAUAGGGAUAGUUGGGGGCAUUAGUAUUCAAUUGUCAGAGGUGAAAUUCUUGGAUUUAUUGAAGACUAACUACUGCGAAAGCAUUUGCCAAGGAUGUUUUCAUUAAUCAAGAACGAAAGUUAGGGGAUCGAAGACGAUCAGAUACCGUCGUAGUCUUAACCAUAAACUAUGCCGACUAGGGAUCGGAUGAUGUUAAUUUUWUAAUGACUCAUUCGGCGCCUUACGGGAAAC
rnacentral:rRNA from 1 species